GGAGCCUGGAGACAACGUGGACCUCUGUGAUGAGACACUAAGACCAAUAAAUCAGCUGCCAGGGGAGGAGGCAGAUGCUGCAGGGCAUGUGAACCCCCCGGGAGCAGAUGAGGGUGCUCCAGCUCCCUCCCUUCUUCUAACUUUCCACAUGGGGAGGUAUUCACUGACUGGAAACUGCAAGCUCCUGGUGACCUAGCCACCUCCCCUCAGCUGGAAGUUCUAUGUCCAGGAAAAAGACCAGUGAAAUCAAGAGUUUUUAGGAGGAAUUGUCACAAACUCUAGGAAUAUAUGUUCAAGUGCAUUUUCUCUGGGAGGAGGAGGGAGAACAGACAUUCUCAAAGCAUCAGUGAUUCAAAUCCGGCUCUACUUUAGCAGAAGAAGCUGCAGAGAGAGAAGAAAACACCACCAGGCCUGCCUGAGCCACCCUCCUCUAGGCACAGAAGGGCAGAUGUUCUCUUUCAGAUUCACUUUUCUAAUUGUGUAAGUCUCCACGGAGGACCCAGGGAGGAAUGGCUGGCUGGUGG